AUGAGUUAUUUGGAAAACAAAGUUUUCUUGACAUGUGUGAAACUUCCAAAGAAACGAAAACAGAAAUCAACUACAAUGAAAACUCUACAUAAAAGUAUGUGGAUAAUUCAAAAAUCGGAAGAAAAAACUAGCAAUGAAACUGAUAGUGGUUUAGCUGAAAACUUGAUAUUCGACCAACCUUAUAGUCGAAUAUUCGACCAACCUUAUAGUCGAAUAUUCGAUCGCUGAAUAUUCCUCGGAACGUUGCCAUUUGGUGCAUCGCAAGAUACAUUCUUGCGUAGGCGGCGCGUGAACGGUAGGGGAGACUCGAUCCAAUUCGGAUAUUUUCGUUGUUGUAUUACAUAUUCGAACCUUCUUGAAAGCUGAAUUAGAAGUUCGUUUUAACCCCAUAACUCAAGAUCCAAACUUCUUGAUUGUGACCUAUACCCGAGGUUCAAACCAAACUUCCUGGGGGAGAAGAGGCAGAGUUGCUUUUUGAUGGAUCGAGUCAGUUUAUACGGUAUUCGAAUCAUAACUCGAUUCCCUGAUUCGAGACAGUACUCGAAUUCUAUGUUUGAUAUUCGAAUAUUGACUCGAGUUCGGCUGGACUCGAGUCUAGAAAUUCGAGUCUGAAAAUUCUAGUCCAGAACUAGAGUCCGAUUUUCGAACAAUCGGGAAAAAUGAAAAGGAGUUAACUUCAAACAGCGUGUAAGUUAGGUUAAGAAUAAUGACACAACAAUAAUAAAUCAAUAAUUCAGUUUAAAAAUGGUUGGAAGAGUGCAUUAUGAAUAAAAAAACCAACUGUAUAUUGUUAUUGAUUUUUUAUAUCGGCAAAUAAAAUUAAUCGGCUAUUUUUUUUUACUUUAUUCUAAUAUUUGAAUAUUUUGCGUACGAUCGUGGUGGGCAGCCCAUUAAGUUACCACAAACUGUCAAAUUUUCCCAAACGGAAACCACCCUUAUUAUUUCGCUAUAAAGUUCAAAAUUGAUUACAGAAAUUUGACAGAUUUAUAUAGCUUGACGUAUAUAUAGUACGGUUGGCAACGCUUGUACGAGCGAGUUAACCAAAUUCGAAUACGAGACUCGAGUCAGUUGGAGUUUGGACUCACAUAAAUAGAAUCGAGUUAGCGAAUCGAUUCUUCCUGACUCGAGUCCGGCGUUCAAAAUAAAUUGGUAUUCGAGUUCUAAAGCAGGAAUCGAGUCUGACUCGAGCCAAACCGUACUCGACACAUCGCAUAUAUAUAUUGAAAUACUGAGGUUUUUCAGGUUCGAGUUUGAACUGCCAUGAUCAGCUAGUGAAAUUUUUAUGAAAAACUGGUUUUCUCCAAUUAAAGGCCAUCUGUACAAUUUUUUACAACAGGGUUGCCAUCAGAGUUAAAUUUCUGAAAAUUGUAGAAAUUGGAUCUCUAAUUCAUCAAAAAUACUUUCAUGGAGAGAAUGAAACGUAAUUACAAAAUUACUUUUUGCAAAAUAGCACUAGCUUCAUUAAUUUCAGAAGCAGACAGCGAAAUUGAAACUACGCCUUCAAAUAUGUAAUAUUUAGAAAAUUAGAUCGUUAUUCAAAGAUUUUUCUAACUUUUGGAACCCAUUAUUGGAAUCCCUAACUUUUCAUACUGAAGCUCAAGACAUUAAGGGCUUUUGGCAAUAGAUAUCACCUGACCUUAUAUCAACUUGAUAUAAAUGAAACACUCGAAUUUCUAACAGAGGCAUAUAUAAACCACCAUAAUUCGAAGAGUUGGAGCCAGUUGAUUUAUUCAUGCUGUGAAGCAAUGGAAAUAAUUAUCAAGCCUACAAACAGGAAUUUGAGAAGAAAUCAGUUGGGCAAAGACAUAUUCGGAAAAGAUUCUGCAGUGGGUGCAAUUAAUGGUUUGAUUGCUUUAAUGAAGAAGGAAUGGAAUUUACCUAAUUUGUUGCCUAUUCACUGCUUGCUGCAUCAAGACACUUUGACAUGUGAAAUUUCGGAUAACAAAUUGAAAGAUGUAAGCAUUAUUAUAAAUGUUAUUCGCUCGCGCUAAGUUAAUCAAUGAAAUUUCAACGACCUUCUUGAGAAUUACAAGCUAAUUAUAGUGGUGUUAUCUUACAUACAGCUGUCAGACGGUUGAGCAAAGGAAAAGUAUUAGAACGGUUCUUUCAAAUAAAACCCACAACUUUUUUUUACAACAAAAUGGCAAAAAAUUCCCACAACUAUGGCAAAAUGAAUGGUGGCUACUUGUGGCUCUUUUGACCAAUAUUACUAUGAAAUUCCAUAGUCUUAUUUUCAAAAUGCAAGUAAGUAACAAGAUAUAUGGGCAAAUGACAAAUAAAGUAUUCGCAUUUGAAUACAAACUGCAAUAACUCGCUCUACUAUUGGAUUGCUCAAACUCAGUACAAGACGGACACAUUCAGAAAUAAUAUUCAUACAUAAAUUGUUGAACAACGAAAUUAAUUUCCCAACUCUUCUAUGUAAAGUCAAUCUGCAUGUUCCCCCGAGAAGGACACGUAACAAUCAAACUUUCAGUCUCGACUUUCAUAGGUGUAAUUAUGGAAAACAUUCUCUUUUGUCCAGAAUUCUAUCGAAUGCUAAUGGAACCAAUAUUGAUUUUCGUCAUAUCUCUCAGAGCACUCUUAGAUACACUUUGCGUGGUUUAGAUUUAUAAGAUUAUUUUUUUAAUCACAAUUUUAUUAAAAUUUUCUCUAUGUAGGUUGAUUUAUUAGAUAUGUAGAACUAGAAUAGUUAACUUUCUAAGGUUAAUAUAUUGUAUAAAAAUUGGGGGUUACCUAUUGAAUAAAUAAAUAAAUGAAUAAAAAACUCGAAGCAGGGGAUUUUUCAAAUUUUCCAACUGUUGUUGCUCUGCAAUCGGAAGUUUCUAUUCCUAACAGUACUGCCUAUUAAAAUAUGAUAUCCUAUUUGAAAGUAUAUCUGCUAGAAAUUCAAAAUAGAUUUU